AGAGUUUGAUCCUGGCUCAGGAUGAACGCUAGCGACAGGCUUAACACAUGCAAGUCGAGGGGCAGCACGGGAGUAGCAAUACAACUGGUGGCGACCGGCGCACGGGUGAGUAACGCGUAUGCAACCUACCUAUCAGAGGGGAAUAACCCGGCGAAAGUCGGACUAAUACCGCAUAAAACAGGGGCACCGCAUGGUGAUAUUUGUUAAAGAAAUUCGCUGAUAGAUGGGCAUGCGUUCCAUUAGGUAGUUGGUGAGGUAACGGCUCACCAAGCCGACGAUGGAUAGGGGAACUGAGAGGUUGGUCCCCCACACUGGUACUGAGACACGGACCAGACUCCUACGGGAGGCAGCAGUGAGGAAUAUUGGUCAAUGGGCGAGAGCCUGAACCAGCCAAGUCGCGUGAAGGAAGAAGGAUCUAUGGUUCGUAAACUUCUUUUGCAGGGGAAUAAAGUGCAGGACGUGUCCUGUUUUGUAUGUACCCUGAGAAUAAGGAUCGGCUAACUCCGUGCCAGCAGCCGCGGUAAUACGGAGGAUCCGAGCGUUAUCCGGAUUUAUUGGGUUUAAAGGGUGCGUAGGUGGUUUGAUAAGUCAGCGGUGAAAGUUUGCAGCUUAACUGUAAAAAUGCCGUUGAAACUGUCAGACUUGAGUGUAAAUGAGGUAGGCGGAAUGCGUGGUGUAGCGGUGAAAUGCAUAGAUAUCACGCAGAACUCCGAUUGCGAAGGCAGCUUACUAAGCUACAACUGACACUGAAGCACGAAAGCGUGGGGAUCAAACAGGAUUAGAUACCCUGGUAGUCG
rnacentral:rRNA from 1 species